UUGUCACAAAAGAAACAGGCAACAUCAUCUUUCGAAUGUCUUGAAGAACUUAAUUUGUAUGCUGAAGCUUCCUUUAUCACUCCAAUCAGCAGUAACUGGGUCCGGUUUAUCGUCUUUGAUCACUUUCCACAAACCCUUUCCUAUCAACAUCAUCUCCACCUUGUACCUCCAGUUAAAAUAGUUGCAGCCAUUCAAUUUCGUCAAUGUUAUCCUCGUUUCUGUAGCCAUUUUUCUAGUUCUUCUAUUUUGUACUGUCUUAUUCCUUGUCUGGGCCCAUAACCUGUUGGAACGUCCAAAUAUCUCCAGGAAAUAAGAGACAAUUACAAAAUAAUGAUCUUUAUUGAGCUGCUGAUUCUCAACGAAUGAAAAGUUCUAACACAACAAAAUAGAACUUGGUUACUCGAUUAUAUACAAAUUUAUGAGAUUGCUGAGUUACUUCCAACACUCCUCCACAAGUUCAUAAAUUUGAAAAAUGACCUCCUCCUUAAUGACCUUAACUAAAGUCCAGGUCUCACUACAUAAAAUUCAUCACGAAAUCACUCUUAUGUCGCUCAAAUUCUGUUGCCACUGUUCGGUUCAAAUUCUUUUGCGUCUCGAAUUCUUCAUCUUAACUUGCUCAAAUUCUGUUGCCUCAAAUCUUCACAUAUUCUUCUUCUUCUUUUUCAUCAUUCCUUCCUCAUUUAUACAAAUAUCACUCGGGGUCCAUAAAUCAUAGCCAUUGUUGUUACCGUACGUCCUUCAAUUAAACUAUUCUCAAAAAGCGUAAUCCACAUCGGAAUCAUCUUCGUAGACUAGUUUCUCUCUGUCGCUUCGAGACUGCUUCUUAUCGAUCCACUCUUUAUAUUCCUCGCAAUUUCGUUUGUAGUGUCCCUUCUUGUCACAAAAGAAACAGGCAACAUCAUCUUUCGAAUGUCUUGAAGAACUUAAUUUGUAUGCUGAAGCUUCCUUUAUCACUCCAAUCAGCAGUAACUGGGUCCGGUUUAUCGUCUUUGAUCACUUUCCACAAACCCUUUCCUAUCAACAUAAUCUCCACCUUGUACCUCCAGUUAUAAUAGUUGCUGCCAUUCAAUUUCGUCAAUGUUAUCUUCGUUUCUGUAGCCAUUUUUCUAGUUCUUCUAUUUUGUACUGUCUUAUUCCUUGUCUGGGCCCAUAACCUGUUGGAACGUCCAAAUAUCUCCAGGAAAUAAGAGACAAUUACAAAAUAAUGAUCUUCAUUGAGCUGCUGAUUCUCAACGAAUGAAAAGUUCUAACACAACAAAAUAGAACUUGGUUACUCGAUUAUAUACAAAUUCAUGAGAUUGCUGAGUUACUUCCAACAAUUUGAUCUGAUCGU